rnacentral:tRNA from 1 species
CUCCUUUCUAAGGAUGAUCAAGAAUAGGGCUUUUUAAAAAUCCCUCCCUUUUUGAUCUGAUUAGACACAAAGUUUAAACAUGUGUUUGUUUAAACUGUGCAUAUGACGCUAACUCUCAAUAAAUCCCUCUCACCAAAAAGAGACCCCUCUUGAUCAUAAAGAGGAUCCCCCCCCCGUCUCUUUGAGGCCCCUACCUCGGAUGAGAGAACUAUUUGAGGGCUUAGUGCUCAUGUGUUGAUACAAUAAAUGCAGAACAUGCCGUCUUCGUUUCUCUUUCUUCAGAUGAUGAUCCCAAGCCUUCUGGCGAUCUCUUAAAAAAAGCCUAGCCUGCUUUUAAAAAACAGGACGUUUAGAUACUCUUUAAAUCCUUAUAAAUCUUAAAGAGUGUCCAUUUAAAAAAGGCUUUAUGAAGAAAGCACUUUAAGCUUUUCCAGUGAUUUAAGAUGAUACCGGGGAAGGUUUUCCGGUUUAUCCCGGAGGGCUUGUAGCUCAGUUGGUUAGAGCGCGCGCUUGAUAAGCGUGAGGUCGGAGGUUCAAGUCCUCCCAGGCCCACCAAUUUAUGCUCGUUUUUUGCUUAUCCAAGAGUGUGAAGCUUAAGCUUAUCAAAGCCUCUUUUAAUCUUUGUUUAUUUUAAAGAUUUAAUUUUAUCAUUCAAAGAUUGUUUGUUAAAUUUAUUCUAUUAAGUUUGUCAAAGGGGGAGUUUGUCAAAGGAGGUUUUUAAAUCCCUUCAUUUUGAAAUUCCUUCAAGGGGAUAGGAAAAUUUAAAUGUUGCAAAUCAAAAUAGUCAAAGUCAUUCAAGGUGAUGAGUUUUCUUGAGGUUGAUUUGAAAGAGCAUUAUUUAGGGGCCGUUGCUCAGCUGGGAGAGCACCUGCUUUGCAAGCAGGGGGUCGUCGGUUCGAUCCCGUCCGGCUCCACCACUUUAUGGUUCAUCAUCAUGUUGUAAGAAUAUUGUUUUGCGAGAGGUUUUAUGAACUUCUUGCCUGUUCUAUUGAAAUUGUGAAGAGAAGAUAUAUUCAGACAUGAUUUUUUAUGCUCUGUCUUUAUACAAGAUAGCGUUAUGAAAAAUGAUGUGUCGCAAGGGAAUGCUCAAAGCCCUUGCUUAUGAUUGGAAGCUUAACCGCGCCAUUGAAUAUAUCUCGAGAAGCUGGUCUUUUCUGCUGAUAUCAUUGUUUGUUUUGCGCUUUGUCUUGCACAGGACAAAGAGAUGUAGACAAACAGAUCAACAGACAAAUAACAAAUGCUUUACGCGUUAUUACGUGGAGCGUUUUUAUUGAGAAAAUUGAA